GACGAACGCUGGCGGCGUGCUUAACACAUGCAAGUCGAACGGAAAGGCCCUGCUUUUGUGGGGUGCUCGAGUGGCGAACGGGUGAGUAACACGUGAGUAACCUGCCCUUGACUUUGGGAUAACUUCAGGAAACUGGGGCUAAUACCGGAUAGGAGCUCCUGCUGCAUGGUGGGGGUUGGAAAGUUUCGGCGGUUGGGGAUGGACUCGCGGCUUAUCAGCUUGUUGGUGGGGUAGUGGCUUACCAAGGCUUUGACGGGUAGCCGGCCUGAGAGGGUGACCGGCCACAUUGGGACUGAGAUACGGCCCAGACUCCUACGGGAGGCAGAAGGGGGGAAUAUUGCACAAUGGGCGGAAGCCUGAGGCAGCAACGCCGCGUGCGGGAUGACGGCCUUCGGGUUGUAAACCGCUUUCGCCUGUGACGAAGCGUGAGUGACGGUAAUGGGUAAAGAAGCACCGGCUAACUACGUG
rnacentral:rRNA from 1 species